GGUGUGCUGCUGCUGCUGCUUUGGAGCACUCUCCGAAUAACCCUUUCUGUUUGUUCGGCACUGCUUUAGCACAACAGCAUCAAACUGCUUCAGCUUCAGCAAUGAAUGUCAGCAAUGCCUUUUGAUUUCCACCUGACCAGGUCCAGGACCUCCUGCACUAAUUCUACCACAACACAUCAUUAGUGCUAAUUUAGUUGGGUUUGUUUAAUGGGGCUCCACUUGAGCUCAGUCUAACACAGUGCACACUGCUUCCUGCACCAGGAGAGGAGUGGGUGCCAUUCUAACACUUGAGGACUUGAGAGUGGACUGAAAAAGUGGUCAAGUUUAGCAAUAAAACUAAUCCUAAGCCCAGCAGCCUGAAGCGCUUGGACAGAGGUGCUCUGUGAAACCUACAAAGAAAGAAAUGCGUGAUUCACUGCUCUCAUUCCACUGUAUGACACAGUAUCACCACAGCGCUGGUGAUUUCAUCAAGCAGCUUUUGAGCUGGAGCAGCACUUCAAGCUUCAUUGGAUGCCUGUGCCCCGCAGAAUAGAACUCCCCCUUGUCAAGAAAGCAGUGACUGAACAGCAGUCAAAACACUGCGGAAGUGCCUGCAGAUGAAGCUGGUUCCUUCAGACUCCCUUGGCCACCAGCUCAUGUCCUGGGAAUCAACACUGACCACCUGAGAAUAAAAUAAUUAAAUCAUUGCACUGCUGGUGCUAAUACUUUAAUUUCAUAUGCUGACAACAUUUCACUGUAAGCCAGUAGCCUCAUGUUAGGUAAUGUGUAUGCAUUCAGCCUGUAUAUGAAUUCACGCAUGUUUAAGUGCAUAGUGUAUGAUUAACACAUAAGCCUUAGCUUUUCUACAUUAAACGACAGCUUUCAAAGGAGGAAAAUGAAUCUUACACACCAGCUGUACCAGAAGCUUUGCUCCAAUCAAGCUGCAUGCUGUAAGCUUUAUAAGUGACAUGGAAUGGCAAGGAAUGAUUUCACCCACAUAAAUACUUACGUACAAUACUGCAUUCAGAGACUAUUCAUAGGGAUUUCUUUUUUAAUUUUAUUUUCAAACAAAGAAUGGGACAAUAACAAAAAUUACAGCAAAAAUCUUCACCAUCUCCAAGAGAACAAAGACAAGCAGUAUAUAUAUAUAGCACAUCUUACAAGAAAAUGCAUUUUUCCUAAGCAUAUUUCUGCUUAUUCCAUUCUAUUCUGUGUAUUAACAAUUUCUCUUCACAGAUUUCAGGCAGCACGUUGUGUGUAGGGGGGGGUAAAACAUGGAUACGACAGCUUAGCUUGUGGGCUAUGAACCGUUUGUAGACUGUAAUGCCUCAGAAAGUGUUACAUAGAAGUACAGCAAGACAAAAAACCAACACCGCUUUCCCAUUCACAAAGGAAAACAACUGAGUUCACAGACUGGAAAAUGAGAGUGAUACAUACUCAUGGCUUAACCCAAUUUCAUUUAGUUAUACACACAGAAGUUAGUCCAAAGCAUUUUUUCCACUAGGAAACAUGGGUUGGUAACAGUAAUCACGCACUCCUGUGACAGUUAGAAAAGCAUUACUUAAAACACAAAUUAAGUGCAUGGGAUUGGGAUGGCUCUCCUCAUAUGGUUUCUGAUUCUGUCCUCUCACAGUUGGCACACAUGAUCCCAUUCCUGGACUGAUUAAGUGGUCAUGAUUCUUAUCCUCUGCCAGACGAGGGCUGAGCCACAAUCUCACAGCUCAUGAAAUCAGAAACGCUAUUAUUUCCAAUUCCAGACACGAUUGAUUGAUACCAUUUAGAAACAAUCAAACAAAAAGCAAAAAACCAAAGCCCCAGCUACCCCAAGCCUGUUUCUGCCACAAGCUAAAACCUUUUUUUCUUUUAAUAAAAAGAUGAGAAGACUACUGGUUUAUUUGUUCUUCAUUUUGCUACGUAGCCUUUUAUUUCUAUACUUAGUCCUUGUCCAGAAAUAGCUUUCAAAUAAAUACAUAUUUACAGGUUUCCAACUUUUAAGUUCCUUCUGAUCAGCAUUAAAUCCAGGAUGUAAUUAAGUCUUCAUUAUUAGGAAUAUUUUCUUUUCAGGGACCCUGCAGGCUUUCUAGCAUGCCAAGAACCUUGUUUGGGCAAUUUCAGAGGGCAGCCAAGUAAUUUGGCAGAAGAUGAAAAACACGAGGAGCCAGUAGGGCUGGAAUAGUUUUCAAUAAUCAACUGAAAACAACUAAACAAACUGGAAUCUAGUGGGGAAAGGAAUUUUCAAAAUAAAUUAAGAGCUCAACUUUAGGAUGUGGAGAGUAUUUAGCAACAUGUAAAAAGUGUUCUGGAUGCUGCCAAAGACUCUAUUGGACGUUUGAAAGCACAUCCACCAAAAUAGAAUGUCCUGCUACAUUUUUUUGCUUUUAAGAGGGAAAGUGCAUAGCAGUUACGGUCUCUGAACACAGUAAAAAUGUAUUUAGUCUGUAUUCCGUGGAAGUGUUGUAUAUACACCAUAGUAUCACCACUUCUCUAAAGGCAAAAAUCACUCACAGAAAGCAGAAGGAAAGAACUUUCACUUUGCUCACUCAGGCUGAAAAUAUGCACAUCCUGAGAUGGGGCAGCUGGUAUCAGUCAGUCAUUUCAUGUAAGAACCGAGAUAAACUACCUCUACUUCCACUCCUACCCUCUUUCCUGCCAUCUGAACAUCUCCUUUCAGCUGUCUCACAGAGGACUCCUCUCAUAGAGCUUGGCUCUCCAGGAGCCACAAGGUGUACAUAGGGUGUACAUAGGGUGUACAUAGGGUGUACAUAGGGUGUACAUAGGGUGUACAUAGGGUGUACAUAGGGUGUGCCUGCUUUCUCUCUAGUGCUGGCUCUGGCAGAGGCAUGGACUCGUUUUGGAAAGACAAAUGUUCAGAUAUGCCUGGCUUUUUCAGAUACAUACACUGCCAUUCAGCCUACUCAUGUCUGAAGCAUUUCUCACACAAAACACUAAACUAGGAGCAAAGCUUAGAGGCUAAGUUAAGAAAGCUACAUACACAGGUUUUUUUUCAUACUAAAAAAAAAUAAUAAUAAUCUCUAAAU